rnacentral:rRNA from 1 species
AGUGAACGCUGGCGGUAGGCCUAACACAUGCAAGUCGAACGGCAGCACAGGAGAGCUUGCUCUCUGGGUGGCGAGUGGCGGACGGGUGAGGAAUACAUCGGAAUCUACCUUUUCGUGGGGGAUAACGUAGGGAAACUUACGCUAAUACCGCAUACGACCUACGGGUGAAAGUGGGGGACCGCAAGGCCUCACGCGAUUAGAUGAGCCGAUGUCCGAUUAGCUAGUUGGCGGGGUAAUAGCCCACCAAGGCGACGAUCGGUAGCUGGUCUGAGAGGAUGAUCAGCCACACUGGAACUGAGACACGGUCCAGACUCCUACGGGAGGCAGCAGUGGGGAAUAUUGGACAAUGGGCGCAAGCCUGAUCCAGCCAUACCGCGUGGGUGAAGAAGGCCUCGGUUGUAAAGCCUUUCGUUGGUAAGGAAAUACCUAUCGGUUAAUAACCGUGGGAGUGACGGUACCAACGAAUAAGACACCGGCUAACUACGUGCCAGCAGCCGCGGUAAUAGACGUA